rnacentral:rRNA from 1 species
GACGAACGCUGGCGGCGUGCUUAACACAUGCAAGUCGAGCGGUAAGGCCCUUUCGGGGGUACACGAGCGGCGAACGGGUGAGUAACACGUGGGUGACCUGCCCUCAGCUCUGGGAUAAGCCUGGGAAACCGGGUCUAAUACUGGAUAUGACUCCAUGACGCAUGUUGUGGGGUGGAAAGCCUUGUGCGGCUGAGGAUGGGCCCGCGGCCUAUCAACUUGUUGGUGGGGUGANGGCCUACCAAGGCGACGACGGGUAGCCGGCCUGAGAGGGCGACCGGCCACACUGGGACUGAGACACGGCCCAGACUCCUACGGGAGGCAGCAGUGGGGAAUCUUGCGCAAUGGGCGAAAGCCUGACGCAGCGACGCCGCGUGAGGGAUGACGGCCUCGG